rnacentral:rRNA from 1 species
UUAACGAAUCGCAUGGCCUUGCGCCGGCGAUGGUUCAUUCAAAUUUCUGCCCUAUCAACUUUCGAUGGUAGGAUAGUGGCCUACCAUGGUAUCAACGGGUAACGGGGAAUUAGGGUUCGACUCCGGAGAGGGAGCCUGAGAAACGGCUACCACAUCCAAGGAAGGCAGCAGGCGCGCAAAUUACCCAAUCCCGACACGGGGAGGUAGUGACAAUAAAUACUGAUACAGGGCUCUUUUGGGUCUUGUAAUUGGAAUGAGUACAAUUUAAAUCCCUUAACGAGGAACAAUUGGAGGGCAAGUCUGGUGCCAGCAGCCGCGGUAAUUCCAGCUCCAAUAGCGUAUAUUAAAGUUGUUGCAGUUAAAAAGCUCGUAGUUGAACCUUGGGCCUGGCUGGCCGGUCCGCCUCACCGCGUGUACUGGUCCGGCCGGGCCUUUCCUUCUGGGGAACCUCAUGCCCUUCACUGGGCGUGUUGGGGAACCAGGACUUUUACUUUGAAAAAAUUAGAGUGUUCAAAGCAGGCCUUUGCUCGAAUACAUUAGCAUGGAAUAAUAGAAUAGGACGUGUGGUUCUAUUUUGUUGGUUUCUAGGACCGCCGUAAUGAUUAAUAGGGAUAGUCGGGGGCAUCAGUAUUCAAUCGUCAGAGGUGAAAUUCUUGGAUUGAUUGAAGACUAACUACUGCGAAAGCAUUUGCCAAGGAUGUUUUCAUUAAUCAGUGAACGAAAGUUAGGGGAUCGA